AUCCAAGUGAAGUGUAUCGUCUCA
rnacentral:miRNA from 1 species